ensembl:snoRNA SNORA73 Small nucleolar RNA SNORA73 family
CCAACAUGGAUACCCUGGGAGGUCACUCUCCCAGUCUCUGUCCAAGUGGUGGGUGGGAGCACAGGGCUCUGCCCCAUGACAUACAAUCCCUUUCCACAGCAUUGGAGAUGAAACCAGGCCUCUGAGUCUGUGACUGCAUAUUCCUACAGCUUCUCAGAGUCCCACAGACUGUGACUGAGGAGACAACACAUGCAGGAAACAUGC